ACUUAGUAAGAAAUUUUCCUGAAUGGUCAUCAGUAUAAAUUCCUCCAGAGGCAUUUGUUUAUUCCUCAGUCUAGUUUUGAAAUGAAACCAGAAGAAUUUUUUAACCUACAGACACUUUAAGCAUAUUAAAGGCCUAUAAAAGGCCUUUAAAAAUCAGCACACUCAUUGGCUUUCAAACUGUUCUCCAGAACCUUAGGUGACUCCUCAGAUGUUACUUGGCAGUCAGCCAUGGGCAGGAUCAGGUCAGUCAAGCAGGGUUCUGGCAUCCAGCCCCCUUUGCUUCACCUGAGAAAAGGCUCUGCUUUAUUUU
rnacentral:lncRNA from 1 species